UACGUAGGGUGCAAGCGUUAAUCGGAAUUACUGGGCGUAAAGCGUGCGCAGGCGGUUUUGUAAGACUGUCGUGAAAUCCCCGGGCUUAACCUGGGAACUGCAUUUGUGACUGCACGGCUAGAGUGUGUCAGAGGGGGGUAGAAUUCCACGUGUAGCAGUGAAAUGCGUAGAUAUGUGGAGGAAUACCGAUGGCGAAGGCAGCCCCCUGGGAUAACACUGACGCUCAUGCACGAAAGCGUGGGGAGCAAACAGG
rnacentral:rRNA from 1 species